CCGCACAUUCCCUUUUGUCCCUAUUUCUAACAUCUGCAGAACUCACAUCGUAUAAACAUUUAUAUUCAGGCCAAAGUUCGACAAGUUUGUCCUCUAAAAUUGCCUCGGCCAGCAAUUCAUUUUGCGCCGCCAUCUUGGAUGUUUACUUUCGUAUACUACGCAUGCGCUGUUGCGACAAUCCGUAAGCAGAUAGCUUUCGUUCGCCGCACACGGAAAGAUUUUGGCACGCGAGGCAGAAAUUAUCAAACAUGUUAGAUAUUUGGCGUAAGUGGCACGAAUGACAAAAGUCGUUCGUAAAUCGCCCGCACACGAGAGCUAUCUCCUUACGCCAACAGUCACGAAUGACAUUUUGCUAAGCACAUAGCUCUAGUGUGCGCCGGCCUUUAUCAUACCCCAGGAAUUCAAAAUAGCAAAUCGAUGACUGCCGAAUACUUUGUUUAGCGACUGCGAACGACGUACCAAGUAUGGCGUUUAAAAAUAUUUCGAUCAGCAAGCUUUGUAGCAUUUUAACACGAG